GUAAAGGACAGAUACAGAGGUUCAUGUGUGGUCUCAGGCCUCCCUCAACAAGCAGCUACUGAGUAUUGGAGACAUCCAUGUCAAAAAUACUGUAAAAUGGCAUUAGGAGAGCUCCACAAGGCCUCCAUCAGGUGGUCAGGUCUGAGUCCCAAAGAUUCACCUCUCAUCCCAGAUUUGGUCAUCUGGAUUCUCUAGAUGGUAUCAGCUUCUCAGGUGAGAAUAAAGCAAAAAGAAUCCUGAAUUUCAAGGCAAAAAUGGCAUGGUGGAAGGACCUCGGUAGAGGAAAGCUGUUCACAUCACGGCAGCUAGGAAGCAGAGAGGAAAAGGGGACACAGGAAAGGAGAUAUACACUUCCAGGUUAUGGCCCCAGUGGCCUGCCUCUUCCUACUAGACCCCACCUCUUGACAGCUCACUCAGCUCUGAACUUUACAGUGGAUCAAUCCACCGAUGGGUACAGCACCCCCACCAUUCAAUUACCCUCCGAUAGUCCAAUCCCUGAACACAUUAGACUCUUGGCAGGUAUUCAGAUCCAAGCUGCAAGGCUCUCCUUAUGUGUCCGGAAUGUUCACUUAAACCCAAAACUCUGAUGGACAUUGUGUGUGUGUGCAAGAGGAUGUGGAGAAGACCACAGUGAUAAAACAAGACAGGGAAACUGAGAGGACUUCGAAGGGCUUUGUGCAGUGCUAUGUGAAGAGUUGAAUAUUAAGCUGAUAGCUGAGAUAUCCAACUCUGCAACCUCUGAAUAUUUGGAUGUAUCAUGUAAGAAAGCAGGACAGUCCUUGCAGAGAUUCUGCUCCUGCCUAAGACAGUAUGACACAUGCUCAUUGGAAAAUACCUUAG
ensembl:lncRNA